CAUAGGUUAAUGAGGCGAACCGGGGGAACUGAAACAUCUAAGUACCCCGAGGAAAAGAAAUCAACCGAGAUUCCCCCAGUAGCGGCGAGCGAACGGGGAGGAGCCCAGAGCCUGAAUCAGUGUGUGUGUUAGUGGAAGCGUCUGGAAAGGCGCGCGAUACAGGGUGACAGCCCCGUACACAAAAAUGCACAUAUUGUGAGCUCGAUGAGUAGGGCGGGACACGUGGUAUCCUGUCUGAAUAUGGGGGGACCAUCCUCCAAGGCUAAAUACUCCUGACUGACCGAUAGUGAACCAGUACCGUGAGGGAAAGGCGAAAAGAACCCCGGCGAGGGGAGUGAAAAAGAACCUGAAACCGUGUACGUACAAGCAGUGGGAGCCUCUUAAUGGGGUGACUGCGUACCUUUUGUAUAAUGGGUCAGCGACUUAUAUUCUGUAGCAAGGUUAACCGAAUAGGGGAGCCGAAGGGAAACCGAGUCUUAACUGGGCGUUAAGUUGCAGGGUAUAGACCCGAAACCCGGUGAUCUAGCCAUGGGCAGGUUGAAGGUUGGGUAACACUAACUGGAGGACCGAACCGACUAAUGUUGAAAAAUUAGCGGAUGACUUGUGGCUGGGGGUGAAAGGCCAAUCAAACCGGGAGAUAGCUGGUUCUCCCCGAAAGCUAUUUAGGUAGCGCCUCGUGAAUUCAUCUCCGGGGGUAGAGCACUGUUUCGGCAAGGGGGUCAUCCCGACUUACCAACCCGAUGCAAACUGCGAAUACCGGAGAAUGUUAUCACGGGAGACACACGGCGGGUGCUAACGUCCGUCGUGAAGAGGGAAACAACCCAGACCGCC
rnacentral:rRNA from 1 species